GAGCUGGCUUUAGCCCAGCGGUUCCUUUGAGUCUGGCUUCCCAACUGCCGGGGCAGAUUGGUCCGGUGGUUCAAGACCCGCGGGCACUUUCCAUCUUACUC
ensembl:misc_RNA Vault Vault RNA